rnacentral:lncRNA from 1 species
UGUGCGUACAUGUGAGUAUAACCUCCAGGGAGUAGCCCUGGCAAGGUUAUGUGCAUGUGUAUGUGCGUACAUGUGAGUAUAACCUCCAGGGAGUAGCCCUGGCAAGGUUAUGUGCAUGUGUAUGUGCGUACAUGUGAGUAUAACCUCCAGGGAGUAGCCCUGGCAAGGUUAUGUGCAUGUGUAUGUGCGUACAUGUGAGUAUAACCUCCAGGGAGUAGCCCUGGCAAGGUUAUGUGCAUGUGUAUGUGCGUACAUGUGAGUAUAACCUCCAGGGAGUAGCCCUGGCAAGGUUAUGUGCAUGUGUAUG